UAACCAUGGUGUGGGCAAGCAUUUAAAAGAUCCUUGAACCUUUCCCAGCUUUGAUAAAAAGUCUCACUUUCCUUUUGAGCAAAAUUUAUGAUUUGUCUUUAAAGCCU